rnacentral:rRNA from 1 species
CCUACGGGGAGCAGCAGUGAGGAAUAUUGGUCAAUGGGCGCGAGCCUGAACCAGCCAAGUCGCGUGAGGGAAGACGGUCCUAUGGAUUGUAAACCUCUUUUGUCGGGGAGCAAAAGACGCCACGCGUGGCGUUCCGAGAGUACCCGAAGAAAAAGCAUCGGCUAACUCCGUGCCAGCAGCCGCGGUAAUAAGGAGGAUGCGAGCGUUAUCCGGAUUUAUUGGGUUUAAAGGGUGCGCAGGCGGAAGAUCAAGUCAGCGGUAAAAUUGAGAGGCUCAACCUCUUCGAGCCGUUGAAACUGGUUUUCUGGAGUGAGUGAGAAGUAUGCGGAAUGCGUGGUGUAGCGGUGACAUGCAUAGUUAUCACGCAGAACUCCGAUUGCGAAGGCAGCAUACCGGCGCUCAACUGACGCUCAUGCACGAAAGUGUGGGUAUCGAACAGGAUUAGAUACCCGGGUAGUC